rnacentral:tRNA from 1 species
CAAAGAGUAGCUUAAUAAAAGCAUCUUAUUUACGCUAAGAAAAUAUCU